AAAAAAAAAAAUAACACCGUCAUAAUUCGCACGACGGGCGGGCCGACGCUGUGUUGUGUACAUUGGCGAGAAGUCGAAAAGUCCGGAAUGGGAUAUGGGGGAAUUCAGUUUGUUUCCACGCGUCGUCGUACCUGCGCACACGCGUGCACGUCAAUACGUCCCCGACUAUUAUCCCGGGAAACCGCUCGGAAAAUCGAAAAACGACGCCCU